rnacentral:rRNA from 1 species
GUUUAAAUCGAUACUACGCGCGGAACCUUACCAGUUUUUGUAUCUCUCUUUUGUCUUUGAUCACACAAAGACCAAUACAAGAGAGACAGGUGCUGCAUGGCUGUCGUCAGCUCGUGUCGUGAGAUGUUUGGUUCAGUCCUGUAACGAGCGCAACCCCUUUCUUGAGAAUUCCUUGAACCUCAAGAGACUGCCUACAAUACAUAGGAGGAAGGCGGGGAUGACGUCAAGUCCUCAUGGCCCUUAAAAGCUGGGCUACACAUGUGCUACAGUGGAAGACUCACUCUGAGGCAAGUCUGAAAAGAUAAGCAAAUCACAAAACUCUUCCUUGUUCGGAUUGAUAUCUGCAACUCGAUAUCAUGAAGGUGGAAUCGCUAGUAAUCGUUUAUCAGAAUGAUGCGGUGAAUACGUCUCUGAGCCUUGUACAUACCGCCCGUCACACGUUGGAAGAGAGAUGGAGUCCAAGC